CGCCGCUCCUCCAGUGCGGGCCGCGAGGCGACGGUUGCCGGGGCGCGCGCCACCCGUUCCUCUUUUCCCGUUGCUAGCGGCUGGCGCGCAGGGAGGCGGCCCCCAAUUCGGCCGGGCGCCUCCCACUUUCCGAGCCGCCGGGGAGCCGGAGGAUGGCGGCCGUGGCAGCGGCCGCCCGGGAGGAGGCGGUGCGGAGGCCGCGGAGCGCGGCAGCGAGCGGCAGCGGCCCGUCGCGACGGCCCGGCAGCGGCAGCGACCGCGUCCGCACGGCUACCUGAGCACCGGCCACGAGCUGCGUUCCGCCUCUCUCUCUCUCUCGCUCUCUAGCUCGCUCGCUUGCUCGCGGCCCCGGGCGGCGCGGACAUGGGCGCCAAGCAGAGCGGCCCCGCCGCCAACGGCCGCACCCGCGCCUACUCGGGCUCGGACCUGCCCUCCGGGACCGGCGGCGGCGGCGGGGCGGACAGCGCUCGGGCGGCCCGGUUCGCGGCCCCGGUGUCCGGCGCGCAGCAGCCCAGCGCCUCGGCUGGCUCGGCGGCUGCUGCGGCUGCUGCGGCGGCGGCAGCGGCGGUAGCGGCGGCCUCGGCCCCGGCAGCGCCCCGUAGCCGCUCGCUCGGCGGGGCGGUGGGCAGCGCGGCGGGCGGCCGCGCGGCGCAGUCGGCCUUCAGUAUCCCCAGCGCUGGCGGCGGCGGCGGCGGCGGCCCGUACGGCUCCCAGGACUCAGUGCACAGCAGCCCAGAGGACGGCGUCGGCGCUAGGGACCGGGACCGGCCGGCGGGUGGGGGCCCUGGCGGGCCGCGUCUGGUGAUCGGCUCGCUCCCGGCCCACCUCUCCCCGCACUUGUUUGGAGGAUUUAAGUGCCCGGUAUGCUCAAAAUUUGUACCCUCAGAUGAAAUGGAUUUGCAUCUUGUGAUGUGUUUAACAAAGCCAAGAAUAACGUAUAAUGAGGAUGUGCUGAGUAAAGAUGCAGGGGAAUGUGCAAUAUGCCUUGAAGAACUGCAGCAGGGGGACACCAUAGCACGCCUGCCUUGCCUGUGUAUAUAUCAUAAAGGCUGCAUAGAUGAAUGGUUUGAAGUAAAUAGAUCUUGUCCAGAGCACCCUUCAGAUUAAGCACACCAGAUUCCUGUGUUAUGGUCACGUGCUUAAGAAAAGAGGGCGAAGGUUAUGCCAUGCAAGAUCCAAGUUCAGAUCUCUCCCUGAACCCAUGGAAAAAAGCACUGGGCAGUGGCACACUGAAUUCCUAAUGCUGAGAUGCUUGUGAACUCUAGAAGAUUUGAAGAUCUGUCUCUGGAAGAAAAUGAGAACUACAGGCUUAUUCAGCCAGGAUCUGAGUUCUGGGACACUUGGGUAGUCCUGAGAAGGACAGGAACCACAGAACUCAGCAUACCAAACUUGCAUAUAAGGGACACACAGGGAUUUUGAAAAUGCUGCACAUCCUGUACCAGUCACUGCAUAGAUGACACUGAUAAACAUUUUGUAUUCAGACACCAAAGUUAACUCAUUUCAAAGUUGAUUUACUUUUUAUUAAGUUCUGUAGAGCUGCUGUUUUAGUGUAUUUGGUUUUGGUUUGUUUUUUGUUGUUUUUGUUGUUGUUGUUGUUGUUUUAGUUUGGGGACUUUUUAUUUUCCCGAACAUGUUUUUGCAUUCACCUUCUUAACUUGAAAACCACACAAUUUCUUUCUUACAAACUCUUCAAUGUGAACCAAGAAAUGUAAUCAAAGUAGUAUAAUAUUCUGUGAAUGGAGAGUAUAAUUGAAGUUCUCCCACCCCCAUUUCCCCCCAUGUAUGAAAAGUAGGUUUCUGGGUUGGAGAGCUAAACUACGUUAGUAGUGUGAAUUAAAGGUUAAUAUUAUAAAAGUGCCAUCCAAAGACUAAAUCAAGGUACAUAAUUACAUUUAGUUCAUUACAUAUAGAGCUGUCUACUGAACUGCAGUUUCUGAAAUACAUUGUUUCUUCUAAAAUGAAACUGUGCAAUAGCUUGUUAGCAGUGACCAUCUUGCAGCUAUGCAACUUUGAAAAGUCCAGAUUUGAAGUUCCCCACUUUAGGGCCACAGUGACUCUGUCCUACAGGUGUCUCUUGUUCCUCUCCUAUAAUUACUUCAUUGUGCUGUGCAUUUCCAGGCAGUGUCCCUAUGUUUGGGUAAAGUGUUUAGCAAGCUGUAAACAUAAUACCUUAUGAAAAGGGUGAAAUAAACACUUCUGCAGUGGGACUUGGAGUAAUCUGAGGGACAUUUUAUAUACUUUUAAAAAUCAGAAUUUAAUUGGGAUGCCAGAUUUCUAGCAACUUGCAUCUUUAGUUUUCCAGAUAAUCUGGAAGUUAGCAUUUGAUAAAUGAUUUUUUAAGCAAAUAUAAAGAUUUUGUUAAUUUAUAAUUUAUUAAUGUGUUGUUACUGUAAUUGAAAAUGUUGUGGAUACUUUUAAAUUCAGUCUUUGUAGAAAGAACUGUAUUAAGCAAAAUUAUGUGAAUAAAUAUUCCCCCCCAAA